CUGGCUCCGGUUCACGUCGUCGCACCAUGCACCGACGACCCGGCGGCC
rnacentral:ncRNA from 1 species